CAAUCUGUUGCUGCUGCUCCAGACACCAGAGAGAUGUCGAAUGAGAUGAUGUUUGUGAAGUCCUUAGCACCAUGCUUGGCCUGGAGACCAUCCCAUGCUAAAAAAGAAGAAGAAGAGGGGAACAAACAGUGAAGAAAGUCCACCCAACACAUGGUCAACACCUGAUAUCACAUGCAGUGUCUUUUGGACACCAAUACUGUCUCCAUGACACUGUGUGGAUGUUAACUAUGGAUCCCCAAAGUUUCCCAAGGAGCAUGCUCAUGGAUGGCCCAGAGGACAUUGGAGAGAGGGGAUGAACUUGCCCAGAAAGUGGAGAACGACAGAAUGAGUCAGGAAGCAAAAUCCAGCAAGUUGUUGUUUACAAGCAACAUGCUUAAAACAUAAAGAUUCAUAGAGAGGAUGGGCAGCUUAUUCCCAGCCCCAAUUCCGGGUCCGCUCCAGCCCCAGCAGGAACCAAAGGAUGGACACCUACGUUCCAACCCGUCGGUACCGUCUUCAUGGACAGCUCCACUUCAGCCACAGCAGUACCCGAAGGAUGAGCGAUUACGUCUCAGACCACCGGGGUCUUCAUGAAUCUACAGCUCUGGCCCAGCGCUCUCAACACUCUCUUCACCGGCAGCAUCCUUUUCAUGGACAGCUCCUUUCCAACCCCACCAGGACCUUGGUAUGGACAACUUCGUCUUUGUCCUGCAAGGUCCGCUUCAGAGGCAGUUCCCAUUAGUUCUCUGAGGAUCUACAGCUAGGUCUCAGCCCCAUCAGAACCCUCUUCAUGGACAGCUCCAUUUCAGCUCAGUCACGGACAGCUCCUCAGCAGUGGCAGCUUUGCACUCUUGGCGGAUCCCUCAGUAUCCUCAACACUGAAAGAUCAGUUUUCUGGCUCUCUCAUCCCACGGUCCCUUGAGACCUUGGACCCCGGCCCUGUUUGCUCCCCUGCAGCUGCGCGCCUCUACCCAGCAGCCCCUCUUCCUCUUCCUUACGACAUCAUCCGUGCCUAACCGGAUGGCUCUUCAGCAUCCUUUGCCUCCGCGGUCCUCGCCCCCACACCGCUGCCCUGCCUGAUUCCCCUACACCCGAUCCCCUCAUCUGCACCGGAUCCUCUCGGUCUCGCAUCCACCAACCAGCUUCCCGGCCAGGCUCCCCUCCCCCUCAUCUCACCUCCUCCCCCUUUCCAU